CCUACGGGAGGCAGCAGUGGGGAAUCUUGCGCAAUGGGCGAAAGCCUGACGCAGCAACGCCGCGUGCGGGAAGAAGGCUUUCGGGCUGUAAACCGCUUUCAGCAGGAACGAAAAUGACGGUACCUGCAGAAGAAGGAGCGGCCAACUAUGUGCCAGCAGCCGCGGUGAUACAUAGGCUUCAAGCGUUGUCCGGAUUUAUUGGGCGUAAAGAGUUCGUAGGCGGUCGAGUAAGUCGGGUGUGAAAAUUCUGGGCUCAACCCAGAGACGCCACCCGAUACUGCUUAACUUGAGUUCGAUAGGGGAGUGGGGAAUUCCUAGUGUAGCGGUGAAAUGCGCAGAUAUUAGGAGGAACACCGGUGGCGAAGGCGCCACUCUGGAUCGAUACUGACGCUGAGGAACGAAAGCAUGGGUAGCAAACAGGAUUAGAUACCCUGGUAGUCCAUGCCGUAAACGGUGGGCACUAGGUGUGGGAUUCUAUUAACGAAUUCCGCGCCGUCGCUAACGCAUUAAGUGCCCCGCCUGGGGAGUACGGUCGCAAGCUAAAACGUCAAAUGAAUUGACGG
rnacentral:rRNA from 1 species